UACGUAGGUGGCAAGCGUUGUCCGGAAUUAUUGGGCGUAAAGCGUGCGCAGGCGGUUUUGUAAGCCAGAUGUGAAAUCCCCGGGCUUAACCUGGGAAUGGCCAUGGAAACUGGCGAACUGGAGUGCGGCAGAGGGGGGUGGAAUUCCGCGUGUAGCAGUGAAAUGCGUAGAGAUGCGGAGGAACACCGAUGGCGAAGGCAGCCCCCUGGGCUAGCACUGACGCUCAGGCACGAAAGCGUGGGGAGCAAACAGG
rnacentral:rRNA from 1 species